GUAUGGGAGAGAGAAGAUAGAAGUAAACGUGGAAAACCUCAGUAAGAAUAUGCCUCAGUGAAUAUUCUACACCAUUGCCUCUUUUUUUAUAAGUACAAUAGGUGGUUGGAGAGAAACAGGAUCCACUAAAAUUCUUGAUUAUGUCAUGUGCUGCAAAGUAACACGCUUCUUAAAUGAAGAACAAAGGAGCCAUUAUGUGUCUGAUACUUUCAAAACUAGGAAUAUUUGAGUUUCUGUCAGAAGGAUCUAUUUCUGAAACAUUUGAAGACUUUCACCUUAAAAGCUUGGAUGCAUACAUUCCUUGAUAAGUCUUAGUCUUGGCUCCUGUUUGGUCUCUCUUUGGUGGGGUGAGAAGAGGGUUGAAGAGAAUGUUUGUCUUUCUCUGUGACAGGAAGGUAAAAACAAAAUCAACGGCCAAAUGACUCAACUGCGAUUGUGCCAGUGAGAACCUCAGGAGCCUAGCAGAAGAUAACGCUGGGAAGGGUUCAAGGAGCUAAGCCGAGAGUUUUGGCUGCCCACCACAGGUAAGAGAAAUUUUGGAGUUUAAGUCUAGCCAAGUUAGAAGGGCUUGGUAAACACUUCAGGCUUUCCAUUGAAUUAGGAAUAGAGACUACAUGCAUCAAAAGAGCAUCAAGACUGAAACAUAGACUUGUCUUGACAGGAGAAAACCAGACCUCCCCCAGUUAAAAGCAAUCUAUCUGUAAUUUAACUGCCUGCUAGAACAAGACUUCACCACUUUUCAGAGGAAGAUCGAGAGUCUCUGCAAUCUAUUACUCAAAGCAUAACAAAAAAAAUUACUAGACAUGUGAUGAAAUGGGAAAAUGUGACUUAUACUAAA
rnacentral:lncRNA from 1 species